GAGUUUGAUCCUGGCUCAGAUUGAACGCUGGCGGCAGGCCUAACACAUGCAAGUCGAGCGGAUGAAGGGAGCUUGCUCCUGGAUUCAGCGGCGGACGGGUGAGUAAUGCCUAGGAAUCUGCCUGGUAGUGGGGGAUAACGUCCGGAAACGGGCGCUAAUACCGCAUACGUCCUGAGGGAGAAAGUGGGGGAUCUUCGGACCUCACGCUAUCAGAUGAGCCUAGGUCGGAUUAGCUAGUUGGUGGGGUAAAGGCCUACCAAGGCGACGAUCCGUAACUGGUCUGAGAGGAUGAUCAGUCACACUGGAACUGAGACACGGUCCAGACUCCUACGGGAGGCAGCAGUGGGGAAUAUUGGACAAUGGGCGAAAGCCUGAUCCAGCCAUGCCGCGUGUGUGAAGAAGGUCUUCGGAUUGUAAAGCACUUUAAGUUGGGAGGAGGGGCAGUAAGUUAAUACCUUGCUGUUUUGACGUUACCAACAGAAUAAGCACCGGCUAACUUCGUGCCAGCAGCCGCGGUAAUACGAAGGGUGCAAGCGUUAAUCGGAAUUACUGGGCGUAAAGCGCGCGUAGGUGGUUCAGCAAGUUGGAUGUGAAAUCCCC
rnacentral:rRNA from 2 species